rnacentral:rRNA from 1 species
AAUGAACGCUGGCGGCGUGCUUAACACAUGCAAGUCGUGCGCGAAAGGGGCUUCGGCCCUGAGUAGAGCGGCGAACGGGUGAGUAACACGUGGGUAAUCUGCCUAGGAGUGGGGGAUAACCUGGGGAAACUCGGGCUAAUACCGCAUUCGUCCGCAGGGUUUCGGCUCUGCGGGGAAAGCUGACCUCUACUUGUAAGUUGGCGCUCCUAGAGGAGCCCGCGGCUGAUUAGCUUGUUGGUGAGGUAACGGCCCACCAAGGCGACGAUCAGUAGCCGGCCUGGGAGGGUGACCGGCCACACUGGAACGGAGACACGGUCCAGACUCCUACGGGAGGCAGCAGUGGGGAAUAUUGGACAAUGGGCGAAAGCCUGAUCCAGCAACGCCGCGUGGAGGAUGAAGGCCUUCGGGUUGUAAACUCCUGUUAGGGGGAACGAAAGGUCGCGGGUUAACAGCCGGCGGCCCUGACGGUACCUCCAGAGGAAGCCCCGGCUAACUCUGUGCCAGCAGCCGCCGUAACAC